rnacentral:rRNA from 1 species
ACGAACGCUGGCGGCGUGCCUAAUACAUGCAAGUCGAACGCUUCUUUCCUCCCGAGUGCUUGCACUCAAUUGGAAAGAGGAGUGGCGGACGGGUGAGUAACACGUGGGUAACCUACCCAUCAGAGGGGGAUAACACUUGGAAACAGGUGCUAAUACCGCAUAACAGUUUAUGCCGCAUGGCAUAAGAGUGAAAGGCGCUUUCGGGUGUCGUUGAUGGAUGGACCCGCGGUGCAUUAGCUAGUUGGUGAGGUAACGGCUCACCAAGGCCACGAUGCAUAGCCGACCUGAGAGGGUGAUCGGCCACACUGGGACUGAGACACGGCCCAGACUCCUACGGGAGGCAGCAGUAGGGAAUCUUCGGCAAUGGACGAAAGUCUGACCGAGCAACGCCGCGUGAGUGAAGAAGGUGUUCGGAUCGUAAAACUCUGUUGUUAGAGAAGAACAAGGACGUUAGUAACUGAACGUCCCCUGACGGUAUCUAACCAGAAAGCCACGGCUAACUACGUG